GUCUUGGUGGCCUAGUCAAUAAGGCGCCGGUUUCCGAAGCCGAAGAUUGAGGGUCCGAGUCCCUUCCAAGACG
rnacentral:tRNA from 1 species